GAUGAACGCUAGCUAUAUGCUUAACACAUGCAAGUCGAGGGACCGGCGCACGGGUGAGUAACGCGUAUCCAACCUACCCAUAACUAGGUGAUAACCCAGCGAAAUUUGGACUAAUCCCUUAUGGUCUUGGAUGGGGUUGCGUCUGAUUAGCUUGUUGGCGGGGUAACGGCCCACCAAGGCAACGAUCAGUAGGGGUUCUGAGAGGAAGGUCCCUGACAUUGGAACUGGGACACGGGCCAAAAUCCUACGGGAGGAAGAAGUGAGGGAGAUUGGUGAAUGGAGGAAAGCAUGAACCAGCCAAGUAGCGUGCAGGAUGACGGCCGAGGGGUGGUAAACUGCUUGUAUAUGGGGAUAGGUACCAUAUGAAUAAGGACCGGCUAAUUCCGUGCCAGCAGCCGCGGUAAUUC
rnacentral:rRNA from 1 species